UACGUAGGGUGCGAGCGUUGUCCGGAAUUAUUGGGCGUAAAGAGCUCGUAGGCGGUUUGUCGCGUCGGCCGUGAAAACUUGGGGCUUAACUCCAAGCUUGCGGUCGAUACGGGCAGACUUGAGUUCGGCAGGGGAGACUGGAAUUCCUGGUGUAGCGGUGAAAUGCGCAGAUAUCAGGAGGAACACCGGUGGCGAAGGCGGGUCUCUGGGCCGACACUGACGCUGAGUGCGCGAAAGCCAGGGGAGCAAACGGG
rnacentral:rRNA from 1 species